CUUGGAUAUAGGCUGUAAACCCAGAUUAUCGAUCGAGAAGGCCAUUUUCUGCAGGAGCCUCUUCCUCAUGCGACUGGUCAGCAGGCCCCGCUCCCUUAAGCUACAUUAAUUUUAAUGUUAAAUACCUAAUUUUUCUAUUAAACUCUUCCCACAUCAGAUGGGUAAUCCAUUGCACCUGGAAUUAAUAUGGCAUCAGUGGUAGGCAAGCUUUGGUACUCCAGAUGUAUUGGACUACAUGUCCCUGCUGCUGUGCCAGCAGUAUGGCUGUAAGAGCAUUAAACAGAUGUAGUCCACAACUUCAGUGCUUAUGGUUGAAUAUCCCUGAACUACAGUAAACAACUCAUAGCUGGCAGCUGCUUCUGCGGUAUAACAAAUACAACUUGCCUAUUUCAACCACUGCUGGGUGCCAACUAUAAUACCACAAAAGACACACUUGGCUCCGUCCUGGAGUUAAAAUGCACUGACUUAGUAUUUCCCUGCCUGUUUGAAUAUGGUCUGAUCCAGUUUUAACAUCCACUGCCAGUAUAAAACAAUUGUUAUUCCCGAACUAUUUAAAAUCUGAUGCUGGAACGAAAU